rnacentral:rRNA from 1 species
UUGUGAUUAGGGUGGUAGUGACACGGACGUCUUCCAGAGAAUUUCUCGGAGGGGCAUGUCGGGAGCCAGCAACCGCGGUAAUUCCAGCUCCAAUAGCGUAUAUUACAAUUGUUGCAGUUAAAAAGCUCGUAGUUGAAUUUCUGCUGUAUUGCAUUUUCUCUUUUUAUAUGAGUUUUUGCAUUAUGGCUUAUUUCAGUAUUAAUUUUUUAUUAUUACUGAAUGUUUACUUUGAGAAAAUUAGAGUGCUCAAAGCAGGCUUUUGCCUUGAAUAGUUUAGCAUGGAAUAUAAAAGUAGGACUUUGGUUCUAUUUUGUUGGUUUUAGGUACCAAAGUAAUGGUUAAUAGGAACAGUUGGGGGCAUUCGUAUUUAACUGUCAGAAGGUGAAAUUCUUAGAA